CCUACGGGUGGCAGCAGUGAGGAAUAUUGGUCAAUGGACGCAAGUCUGAACCAGCCAUGCCGCGUGCAGGAAGACGGCCCUAUGAGUUGUAAACCGCUUUUGUACGAGGGUAAACGCAGAUACGCGUAUCUGUCUGAAAGUACCUUACGAACAAGCAUCGGCUAACUCCGUGCCAGCAGCCGCGGUAAUACGGAGGAUUCAAGCGUUAUCCGGAUUUAUUGGGUUUAAAGGGUGCGUAGGCGGUCGGUUCAGUUAGAGGUGAAAUCCCGGGGCUCAACCUCGGAAUUGCCUCUGAUACUGGUCGGCUAGAGAGUAGUUGAGGUAGGCGGAAUGUAUGGUGUAGCGGUGAAAUGCUUAGAGAUCAGACAGAACACCGAUUGCGAAGGCAGCAUACCGGGCUACUACUGACGUUGAGGCACGAAAGCGUGGGGAGCAAACAGGAUUAGAUACCCGUGUAGUC
rnacentral:rRNA from 1 species